rnacentral:misc_RNA from 1 species
GAUGAAGAACGUAGCGAAAUGCGAUAAGUAAUGUGAAUUGCAGAAUUCAGUGAAUCAUCGAAUCUUUGAACGCACCUUGCGCCCUUUGGCUAUUCCGAAGGGCAUGCCUGUUUGAGUAUCGUGAACACCUCAACUCUCAUGGUUUGCCAUGAUGAGCUUGGACUUUGGGGGAUUUGCUGGCCUUUGGUCGGCUCCUCUCAAACGGAUCAGCUUUCCAGUGUUUGGUGGUAUCACGGGUGUGAUAACUAUCUACGCCUGUGGUUUUCUGCCAGAUAACCUUCAGCGAUGGAGGUUCGCUGGGGCUCAUAAAUGUCUCUCUUCAGUGGAGACAGCUUUUUGGACGUUUGAUCUCAAAUCAGGUAGGACUACCCGCUGAACUUAAGCAUAUCAAUAAGCGGAGGA